rnacentral:lncRNA from 1 species
CUUUCCGAGGUCCUCUGCCGCGUGUUUGGAAGUUAUGGCCGCGCGGGUCUGUGGUGUUCUCCCUGAAAGGCCUAAGCUUUGGGUGAUGGCAUUGCCUUUUGGCACUCGGGAGACAAGAUGCAGGUUCCGUCUCAGAAGUAAUGGCUGGAUCCCUGAAAGCCAACGGGCUCGGUGUGGUCCACCCGUCAGAAGGCAUAGGUAGAUGGUGGGCAUCUGCCUCAGACAUAGUUCUCAAGUUCAGCCAGAAGAAUGCGCGUUGAGCCCUCUGCAGCCCGUGUCGACGGAGGUGUUGUCUCCAGGAAGCAUCAUGGAAAGGCGUGGUGGUGCACAAGGGCCUUCAGGAUGCCUGCGCCUGGUGACGGCUGCGCCUCAGGUUCUGGGCCUGACUCGGAAGGGUGCCUGUGAGCAGAAGAGCUGGCACGCGCAGCUCAGUGGACCAUCAGUGCCAACCCGUCCUGUACCCUGGCUGAGGGGUGUGCUAAGUGGCAGAUUCCCGGUUGGCUCAUCGUAAGGCGUGGCACAAAAUCACCAUCGAAAGAAAGGGCCUUCGGGAUGCCUCUAUCUGGGUGGCUCUGCUUGCCUUCACUUCUGAGUGGACUCAGGUUCAGGUCCUCAGGGAUUUGGUUGAAUAUAAAUACUCUGAUGUUUCAUGAGAAACCUUUUUUUGGCCACUUACCAGGAACUUCUUAAAACUUUCUUUUAAAAAAAAAGUUAGCAGCCUGCUUCUGAACUUGGCUGGUGCCUGCCUGUGUGUAGCGCACACAGUGCCUUGUGAUGGCGGCUGGAAUCCCAGGACUAUCUGAUAAUGCUUGUUCCUAAAGUUUGUAGUUUUGAUCACUUAGCUGCCUGUCUCCUUCAGGUUCUUUCCUUGUUUCUAGGUUAUUGCCCUGUAGUGCCAGAGAGAACCACAUAGCCUGCUGCUGCUCCUGCCUUUAAUUUCCCAAAGAGUCAUCAGACGACCUUGGAGUUUGUUCUGCAAGAGGAGCCAGUAAGGCCUCGUGACUGUGGUCACCCUCGGAAGCCUUUGACAGCUAGCUGGUGAGGGCGCUCAGUCGGAGGCCCUGGGGAGGCCCCUGCUAAGCCGAGAAAAGCAUUUCUCACAGUGGAUUUCCUGGAAGUCAGGGUUGGCCUUUGUAUUUUGAAGCACAAAUAAACUUUAUAAAAUUUAA